rnacentral:antisense_RNA from 1 species
AGGAUUGGGGAGCACGUUUUGCGUCUUGCUGUGCGUGAGGAAGCGGGGCUCCAGGUCAAGGCUAUGGAAAGGCAGGACUUUGAAAUGACCCUGUCCUCAGCCUGGAGGAUACGGUAUUCUGAUUGUCUGGUGCUGUGUCAACUGGGCCUGCCUCUGGGAUAGUGUUGUGGCUGCCCCACGAGAACCCUAUAUGCCAGUUCCAGAAGCAAAAACAAAAAAAGUUCGGGUACAGCGGCUCACACCUGUAAUCCCAGCUCUUAGGGAGAUGGAAACUGGAGGAUCACUUGAGGCCAGGAGUUCAAGACCAGCCUGGGCAACAUAGCAAGACCCAGUCUCUUAAAAGAAAAUUAAAAAGAAAGAGUAAAUAAAGUUCCAGAAGCUUUGCUCUCCUU